rnacentral:rRNA from 1 species
UACGAAGGGGGCUAGCGUUGUUCGGAUUUACUGGGCGUAAAGCGCACGUAGGCGGAUUGUUAAGUCGGGGGUGAAAUCCUGGAGCUCAACUCCAGAACUGCCUUUGAUACUGAUAGUCUUGAGUAUGGGAGAGGUGAGUGGAACUGCGAGUGUAGAGGUGAAAUUCGUAGAUAUUCGCAAGAACACCAGUGGCGAAGGCGGCUCACUGGCCCAUUACUGACGCUGAGGCACGAAAGCGUGGGGAGCAAACAGG